GAUCAUGGCUCAGGAUGAACGCUAGCGGCAGGCUUAAUACAUGCAAGUCAAGGGGGUAGCAAUACAACCGGCGCACGGGUGAGUAACGCGUACACAACAUACCAUAUACUGGGGUAUAGCUUCGGGAAACUGGAGAUAAUCCCCCAUAACAUUGCGAGAGGGCAUCUGAUUGCAAUUAAAGUUUCGACGGUAUAUGAUUGGUGUGCGUUUGAUUAGCUUGUUGGUAGGGUAACGGCCUACCAAGGCGACGAUCAAUAGCUGGCGUGAGAGCGCGACCAGCCACACUGGAACUGAGACACGGUCCAGACUCCUACGGGAGGCAGCAGUGGGGAAUAUUGGACAAUGGGCGAAAGCCUGAUCCAGCCAUGCCGCGUGAUAGAUGAAGGCCCUCUGGGUUGUAAAUAUCUUUUAUCUGGGAAGAAACUCCUCUAUUCUUAGAGGCCUGACGGUACCAGAGGAAUAAGCACCGGCUAACUCCGUG
rnacentral:rRNA from 1 species